GAUGAACGCUAGCGGCAGGCCUAAUACAUGCAAGUCGAACGGUAUAAGUUGUAGCAAUACGACUUAGAGAGUGACGUAAGGGUGCGUAACACGUAUGCAAUCUACCCUCAACAGGAGUAUAGCUCGGGGAAACUCGGAUUAACACUCCAUAAUAUCUCAAGGAGGCAUCUUUUUGAGAUUAAAACUUUGGUGGUUGAGGAUGAGCAUGCGUCUGAUUAGUUAGUUGGUAGUGUAAUGGACUACCAAGACGAUGAUCAGUAGGGGAACUGAGAGGUUGAUCCCCCACACUGGCAUUGAGAUACGGGCCAGACUCCUACGGGAGGCAGCAGUAGGGAAUAUUGGUCAAUGGGUGAGAGCCUGAACCAGCCAUGCCGCGUGCAGGAAGACGGCCUUCUGGGUUGUAAACUGCUUUUAUCAAGGGAUAAAAAGGUCUUGCGAGACAAAUUGAAGGUACUUGAUGAAUAAGCACCGGCUAACUACGUGCCAGCAGCCGCGGUAAUACGUAGGGUGCAAGCGUUGUCCGGAUUUAUUGGGUUUAAAGGGUGCGUAGGCGGUUUUAUAAGUCAGUGGUGAAAGACAACAGCUCAACUGUUGAGGUGCCAUUGAUACUGUAGAACUUGAGUACAGACGAGGUAGGCGGAAUUGACAGUGUAGCGGUGAAAUGCAUAGAUAUUGUCAAGAACACCGAUAGCGAAGGCAGCUUGCUAGCCUGUAACUGACGCUGAGGCACGAAAGUAUGGGGAUCAAACAGGAUUAGAUACCCUGGUAGUCCAUACAGUAAACGAUGAUUACUCGAUGUUGGCGAUACACAGUCAGCGUCUUAGCGAAAGCGAUAAGUAAUCCACCUGGGGAGUACGCUGGCAACAGUG
rnacentral:rRNA from 1 species